AGGGAACGCCUCAUUUUGCUCUUCUGCCUGCAUUUCCAUUCAGAUGGCCGAGACACUGAUGAAGCUACAACACGCGGCAAAGAAGAAAUAUGUGAAACUAGACCAAGUUUGCUUCUCUGAUUUCCUUCGGGCUGUACAGACAGAUGUAUAAUUCAUCAUCUUCACCUUCUCCUCUCGAGUCGUCCCUCCACCCUCACCGCCUCCUCCAUCCCUGGGCUGCAUCUCCAGCACGGUGCGGAAAAGCUUCUCGGAGGUUUGCGUAAGGAAGCCAAUCUCAGCAUUGGGAUGAAGGCCAUACAGAUAGGGCGACUCUGCAGCCUCAACAGUCACGCUUCAGAGGAAAUGACUGAAGUGUCUCCCUUGUCUAUAAUGAUAUAAAAUGCAGUGGUGUCCAGUCAGGGCCACCAAGGGCCGAAACACUAUCAGAAAUCCUGACCGACAUUCACAACUUCAAUUCUAGUAUUUGUUCUAUGAAACUGUAUGAAUUUAUUCCCAGUAGUUUAUUAUCUUUAGUUUGGAGCAUGUCUCAUAGAUGCCCUGCUUCCAGGAAAUUGAUGUAUAUGUUAGAUUUUCUUGUCCAAUCAGAUGUCAGCUUCUUUCUGUGGCCAUGUCAAUGAAAUCUGUCCAGCACUUUCAGAAUCAGGAAUGCUGGCCCAUGUCACAUACACACUAUUAGCAAUGGGGCUGUUUUUUUUCCCAACCAAUCAGAUUUCAGAUUCACCUCACCAGGCCAGCUAGCUGGCCCACAGUGACAUCAGCAUUUUUUAGUUUUUUAGUCCCUAACACUCAAAGUUACCAGUGAGCUUGAAUGCAUCAUCACAUGAACACAGCACUGAGUCGAUCCUGUACCGACAUGAAAACCGGAGAUUGUUUUAUUUUUUUCA